rnacentral:rRNA from 1 species
CAGGGAAUAUUGCACAAUGGACGGAAAUCUGAUGCAGCGACGCCGCGUGGACGAAGAAGGCCUUCGGGUUGUAAAGUCCUUUUCAGGGGGAAGAGAGAGGACGGUACCCUUGGAAUAAGCGUCGGCUAACUACGUGCCAGCAGCCGCGGUAAGACGUAGGACGCGAGCGUUAUCCGGAUUUACUGGGCGUAAAGCGUCUGUAGGCGGGACAGUAAGUUGGGCGUGAAAGCUUCGGGCUUAACCCGGAGAGGACCUACAAGACUUCUGAUCUAGAGGCCACCAAGGGGGCGUGGAAUUUACAGUGUAGCGGUAAAAUGCGAAGAUAUCGGAAGGAACACCAGUGGCGAAGGCGGCGCCCUGGGGUGGGCCUGACGCUAAGAGACGAAAGCUAGGGGAGCGAACAG